GAUGAACGCUAGCUACAGGCUUAACACAUGCAAGUCGAGGGACCGGCGCACGGGUGAGUAACACGUAUCCAACAUGCCCUUUACUCGGGGAUAGCCUUUCGAAAGAAAGAUUAAUACCCGAUGUAAAGGAUGGGGAUGCGUUCCAUUAGGUUGUUGGUGAGGUAACAGCUAACCAAGCCUUCGAUGGAUAGGGGUUCUGAGAGGAAGGUCCCCCACAUGGGAACGUAGACACAGUCCAAACUCCUACGGGAGGCAGCAGUGAGGAAUAUUGGUCAAUGGGCGUUAGCCUGAACCAGCCAAGUAGCGUGAAGGAUGAAGGCUUAUGGGUCGUAAUCUUCUGUUAUAUAAGAAUAUGUAUUAUAUGAAUAAGGAUCGGCUAAUUCCGUGCCAGCAGCCGCGGUAAUUC
rnacentral:rRNA from 1 species